GCUGGGUGUGGUGGUGUGCACCUGUAAUCCCAGCUACUCAGGAGGCUGAGGUACGAGAAUCGCUUGAACUCAGGAGGCAGAGGCUGCAGUGAGCUGAGAUUGUGCCACUGCACUCCAGCCUGGGUAACAGAGUGAGAUUCUGUCUCCA
rnacentral:SRP_RNA from 1 species